UAAAUUGUUUCUGUUCCUUUUGCUGUAGUCAACCAGAUUUCCUGUUGUAGGAACAACUAAGGAUAGAACAGCACAGUAGCUUUUGGGUUUUAGGAGUGGGAGAACUGUGAAUUGAAGAGAUGCUUAUGUUCUUCUGCACAAGGAAGUGACCUUCUUCUUAGGUGGAAGAGAGCUCCAGGAACUGGAGAACAGAUGACUGCAUACCCACCAAAAAGCAAACAGUCUUCAGAGCCUUUCAGGAGAAUGGAGGAUCCUAGCUGUACCAGUCCCUCCUGGUCGAUGCCUCAGGCACAACCACGUUUCCGAUGGUUUGUUGCCAUGGAAUUGCUGACAGUUGGAAAAUCAGCAGUAAAACUUUGGGAAAGGGUGUGUGCAAAAGGCUUGUAGGCAAACUUAGGCCUCAAAGCACUGCCUGAAGAAGUAGGACAUCCCCACUUCCCAUCACGUGCUGCUGCUCCUGCAUUGGAAGCACUCUUCAUCCAUCCCACUGUGCCUCUGCCUGCUGCCCUGUACCCAAAGGGAUUUUGCCAACCCCAAGAGAAGACAUUGCCAGUGAAAAUGGACGGUGCACACUGAGCUCCAAGGGUGCAGGAGCUGCCUGCAAGGACUUCAUCCAGCUCUCUGGGGCUGGGACAGCACACAGGGAUGAACCAAUAACUACAGCACUGCCUGAGGGCUUGUGGCAGGAAGGCUUUCCAGCCAUCGCAAGCAUCAGUGUUUUGCCAUCCAAAGGGUCUGGAAAACCACCUCAGCCACAGACAGCAGUGCAGGCAGGCCCACGGGGCUUCCCCAUCUCCUCACUCCUCCAUGGAGCACAAACAGCUUCCUCAGACAACAGGAAUGCAGGCAGACUCCAAAUGCAUCAGUAAUAAGGAACUAAAAACAUGCAUGGAAAAGUUUGCACUACAGAAGAGCGUGGCUUAGCAUCAUUAAAGCCAUGAUCUAAAGCUGAGCAUUCUGUAGAGGAUCUUGAACAACUGAUGCUGGACAUGUUACCAAAAUUACUUAUUGAAACUCCCACCAUCUCAUCAGUAACGGCUGAAUGCUAAUUAAGGCAGAGCACAGCUGUGUGCCAUGCUCGUGCUUUAAAGCUCUUUGGAGCAGCAGGUGCUUCCCUGGCAGGGUGAGUCACUCCAGGCUCUGGACUCACACUUCUCAUUUCAAGGGCUUGCAUACAGACUUGGUCUUCUGAGCAGUGGUUUAAUUUACAAGGAAUAGGACAAUGCAGAACUGCAAAACCCAGCUUAUCAACUCCUUUUUCAAAAGGACCAUGAGAGGUAAGAAACAACCUUCCUGAGAAGUUGAGACAAAGAACCAGACACAGAUCACCUCACAUCUUACUGCAGUGUUCCCCAGGCUCUAAUAACCAACUGACAUUAAGUACUUCUAAUGUUUUGUGCUUAAGGCCCCUGGACUAGUCUUUUUGUUUUUUUCAGAAUCAUUGCAAUUUCUCUUUUCACCCUUGCCAAAGAGAUUUAAUACUGAUUGCACUUCUUAGCUUGCUUUGGAUUGAACGCAUGCAGGAGCACAAUUCAGUUUUCUACUAUGGCCAAGUGCUCCCCAUCCUGCCAGCUGGAUGUGGUGUGCCAGCCCCACAUCGCUCCCAUUCUGUGCCUUGAGAGCCACCUGGUGGAACGCAACGUAAGAAAUGCUCCCACCAACUAAAGAGAACUCAAAUAAGCAUCCUGUGAAGAGCCUUGUAAUUAGACUGGGAAGCAGCAGCAGAUUGCAGGUUUUGCUGACUCCUAGCAGAGAAGCCUCCAAGCAGCUGCUCUGUAUGUAUAAAACAGGUCUGCCCACAGCAAGUACCUACCAGGGAGAUCCAGGAACAUGGUGGUGAGAGCAGUGAUAAGAGGUAAAUUCUUUGUUUUGCACUACAGAUUCCAAACCCACAGCCACUACGUGGAUCUACCAUGCAAUAUAGUAUUUAAGAGUGUAUUUAAACAUAAUUACGGCAUAUCAAACAUCACAUUGCUUCAGAUGUGUUAACGUAAGGCUCCUGUCCUCAGCACCAAGCUGAGCCACUACCAAGCGAUGCCUUCAAGCUGCUGUUUCUGGUUGCACACUGUAGCAGCAUUUUGUCCCAACUCACCAGCAGCUCUCAAUCAGCUGCAACCAGCCGCUGCCACGUGAUCCUCAUCUACAAGUCCUUACAAGUUUUGCUGUUUGCUAAUGUUCCUGGCUCUGAAACACCUGCUACACAAAGCAGGCAUUUUAGGUUCUUCACGUUGUUUCUUUCCACUAUGCUUUAUUUCAGAAGCAUUAAGAACAUCUCUAAAAGCAACUCAACAAGAGGCUGCAAAGAGGAUUCACGAGACUGUUUUAAAAGCAGAAAAUGGUGCAAGCUCAGGCAUUCCUAAAUGAGUACAACUUGGAGAAAAGAUAAAACCUGAUGGAAGUUAAGCUUUUAGACUUUCUCAGAGCAGAUGGUAUUUCCAUCAAGCUUUUGGCUUACCUUCCUUUUUCACCUACUUAAUUUCACUACGAGAAAUAAAAAAAAGCCUAUAGGAACUGUGAACAGUUCUUUUCACUAUGCUUGCAGCUUCCUUACAAACAAGCAAUCAAGAAUAAAAUUUUACAAUUCUUAUCAGUCUAUCAUA